GCAGUCGAACGCCCUUUGACCAUGUAAAGGACGUGGCACACGGCUCAGUAACACGUAGUCAACCUGCCCUGGAGCCUUGGAUAACCCCGGGAAACUGGGACUAAUACGAGAUAGGUCAAGAUUUCUGGAAGGGGCCUUGACUGAAACAGCAUCUGGGCAUGUCUAGAUGUCUUCUCUAGGAUGGGACUGCGGCCGAUCAGGUUGUUGGUGGGGUAACGGCCCACCAAGCCGAUUACCGGUACGGGCUUUGGGAGAAGGAGCCCGGAGAUGGACCCUGAGAAAAGGGUCUAGGCCCUACGGGGCGCAGCAGGCGCGAAAUCUUCGCAAUGCGCGAAAGCGCGACGAGGUUAUUCCGAGUGCAAUCUGCUGAAGAUAGCUUUUGUCAGGUGUAAAUAGCCUGAAGAAUAAGGGGAGGGAAAGCCUGGUGUCAGCCGCCGCGGUAAAACCAGCUCCUCGAGUGGUCGGGAUGUUUAUUGGGNCCUAAAGCAUCCGUAGCCGGUCCCGUAGGUCUUCUGUUAAAUCCAACGGCUCAACCGUUGGGCUGCGGGAGAUACCACGGGACUAGGAGGCGGGAGAGGCAGACGGUAUUCCGUGGGUAGGGGUAAAAUCCGUUGAUCCACGGAGGACCACCAGUGGCGAAGGCGGUCUGCCAGAACGCGCUCGACGGUGAGGGAUGAAAGCUGGGGGAGCGAACCGGAUUAGAUACCCGGGUAGUCCCAGCUGUAAACUAUNCGAGCUAGGUGCUGGAGUGGCUGCGUNNUACUCCGGNNUCGCAGGGAAGCCGUUAAGCUCGCCGCCUGGGUAGUACGGUCGCAAGACCGAAACUUAAAGGAAUUGGCGGGGGAGCACCACAAGGGGUG
rnacentral:rRNA from 2 species